CGGAACUAACAGAUUUACUUCGGUAAUGACGUUAGGAAAGCGAGCGGCGGAUGGGUGAGUAACACGUGGGGAAUCUGCCCCAUAGUCUGGGAUACCACUUGGAAACAGGUGCUAAUACCGGAUAAGAAAGCAGAUCGCAUGAUCAGCUUUUAAAAGGCGGCGUAAGCUGUCGCUAUGGGAUGGCCCCGCGGUGCAUUAGCUAGUUGGUAAGGUAAAGGCUUACCAAGGCGAUGAUGCAUAGCCGAGUUGAGAGACUGAUCGGCCACAUUGGGACUGAGACACGGCCCAAACUCCUACGGGAGGCAGCAGUAGGGAAUCUUCCACAAUGGACGCAAGUCUGAUGGAGCAACGCCGCGUGAGUGAAGAAGGUUUUCGGAUCGUAAAGCUCUGUUGUUGGUGAAGAAGAU
rnacentral:rRNA from 1 species